UACGGAGGAUGCAAGCGUUAUCCGGAAUGAUUGGGCGUAAAGCGUCCGCAGGUGGCAGUUCAAGUCUGCUGUCAAAGACCGGGGCUUAACUUCGGAAAGGCAGUGGAAACUGAACAGCUAGAGUAUGGUAGGGGCAGAGGGAAUUCCUGGUGUAGCGGUGAAAUGCGUAGAGAUCAGGAAGAACAUCGGUGGCGAAGGCGCUCUGCUGGACCAUAACUGACACUGAGGAGCGAAAGCGUGGGGAGCGAACAGG
rnacentral:rRNA from 1 species